rnacentral:rRNA from 1 species
AUUGAACGCUGGCGGAAUGCUUUACACAUGCAAGUCGAACGGUAGAGGGGGCAACCCCUCGAGAGUGGCGAACGGGUGAGUAAUAUAUCGGAACGCGCCCAGUCGUGGGGGAUAACGUAGCGAAAGUUACGCUAAUACCGCAUACGAUCUAAGGAUGAAAGCGGGGGAUCGCAAGACCUCCCGCGAUUGGAGCGGCCGAUAUCAGAUUAGGUAGUUGGUGGGGUAAAGGCUCACCAAGCCAACGAUCUGUAGCUGGUCUGAGAGGACGACCAGCCACACUGGAACUGAGACACGGUCCAGACUCCUACGGGAGGCAGCAGUGGGGAAUUUUGGACAAUGGACGCAAGUCUGAUCCAGCCAUUCCGCGUGCAGGAUGAAGGCCCUCGGGUUGUAAACUGCUUUUGUACGGAACGAAAAGGUCUCUCUUAAUACGGGGGACUCAUGACGGUACCGUAAGAAUAAGCACCGGCUAACUACGUGCCAGCCGCCGCAGUAAUAC